AACGAACGCUGGCGGCAGGCCUCAAACAUGCAAGUCUAGGGGGUGCAGCAAUGCAUCACCGGCGGACGGGUGCGUAACGCGUGGGAAUAUACCUUUUGGUUCGGAACAACUGCGGGAAACUGCAGCUAAUACCGAAUGUGCCCUAACGGGGAAAGAUUUAUCGCCAAAGGAUUAGCCCGCGUAGGAUUAGCUAGUUGGUGAGGUAAUGGCUCACCAAGGCUCCGAUCCUUAGCUGUUCGAGAGGAAGAUCAGCCACACUGGGACUGAGACACGGCCCAGACUCCUACGGGAGGCAGCAGUUGGGAAUCUUGGACAAUGGGGGAAACCCUGAUCCAGCCAUGCCGCGUGAGUGGUGAAGGCCUUCGGUUGUAAAC
rnacentral:rRNA from 1 species